rnacentral:rRNA from 1 species
GACGAACGCUGGCGGCGUGCUUAACACAUGCAAGUCGAACGGAAAGGCCCGGCUUUUGUGGGGUUCUCGAUUGGCGAACGGGGGAGUAACACGUGAGGAACCUGCCCUUGACUGUGGGAGAACUUUAGGAAACAGGGGCGAAUACCGGAUAGGAGAUCCUGAUGCAUGGGGGUGGUUGGAAAGAGUCGGCGGUAUGGGCUGGAAUCGCGGCUUAUGAGCUGGUUGGUGGAGUAGUUGCUUCCCAGGGCUUUGACGGGUAGCAGGCAUGGGAGGGUGGACGGCCACCUGGGGCCUGCGAUACGCCCCAGUCUCGUACGGGCGGCAGCAGUCGGGAGUCUUGCACAACGGGCGCACGCCUGUUGCGGCAGCGCCGCGUGCGGAAUGACGGCUUUCGGGUUGUAAACAGAUUUCGACGUUACCGAAGCCUGAGUGACGGUAACGGGUAAGGAAGCCCCGGCUAACUACGUG